AAGGCCUUUCUCAAAUGAGCAGGAGAAAUAUUAUCUGCAAGUGAGUUCUAAAAUUCUCUGAUGCCUUGGUGCCAUUUAUAAUUGUUGUUUUCAGUUUAUUGCCUUGAGUUCUAAAAUUCUCUGAUGCCUUGGUGCCAUUUAUAAUUGUUGUUUUCAGUUUAUUGCCUUUCAUUCUGCUGCUUAAAUAUUGAUGUUAGUCGGUAAAGGAAAGACUUUUCCACUCUUUAGGUACUGAAUCACUGUUUUUAUGUCUUUAGGUGAGAGAUAGUGAGACAGAUCCUUAUAUUAAAUGUUUUAUGUACUUGGUUCCUUUUAUUAACUACUCUAGGC
rnacentral:lncRNA from 1 species